UACGUAGGGACCGAGCGUUGUCCGGAAUCAUUGGGCGUAAAGAGCUCGUAGGCGGCUUGUCGCGUCGGCUGUGAAAUCCCGUGGCUCAACUGCGGGUCUGCAGCCGAUACGGGCAGGCUAGAGUUCGGUAGGGGAGACUGGAAUUCCUGGUGUAGCGGUGAAAUGCGCAGAUAUCAGGAGGAACACCGGUGGCGAAGGCGGGUCUCUGGGCCGAUACUGACGCUGGGGAGCGAAAGCGUGGGGAGCGAACAGG
rnacentral:rRNA from 1 species